rnacentral:rRNA from 1 species
UACAGAGGGGGCAAGCGUUGUUCGGAAUUACUGGGCGUAAAGGGCGCGUAGGCGGCCUGCUAAGUCGAACGUGAAAUCCCCGGGCUCAACCCGGGAACUGCGUCCGAUACUGACAGGCUCGAAUCCGGGAGAGGGAUGUGGAAUUCCAGGUGUAGCGGUGAAGUGCGUAGAUAUCUGGAGGAACACCGGUGGCGAAGGCGGCAUCCUGGACCGGCAUUGACGCUGAGGCGCGAAAGCCAGGGGAGCAAACGGG